rnacentral:rRNA from 1 species
UACGGGGGGGGCAAGCGUUGUUCGGAAUUACUGGGCGUAAAGGGCUCGUAGGCGGCCAACUAAGUCGGACGUGAAAUCCCUCAGCUUAACUGGGGAACUGCGUCCGAUACUGGAUGGCUUGGAUUUGGGAGAGGGAUGCGGAAUUCCAGGUGUAGCGGUGAAAUGCGUAGAUAUCUGGAGGAACACCGGUGGCGAAGGCGGCAUCCUGGACCAAUAUUGACGCUGAGGAGCGAAAGCCAGGGGAGCAAACGGGG